UAGCUAGUUGGUGAGGUAAAAGCUCACCAAGGCGACGAUCUGUAGCGGGUCUGAGAGGAUGAUCCGCCACACUGGAACUGAGACACGGACCAGACUCCUACGGGAGGCAGCAGUGGGGAAUUUUGGACAAUGGGGGCAACCCUGAUCCAGCCAUGCCGCGUGAGUGAAGAAGGCCUUCGGGUUGUAAAGCUCUUUCAGCCGGGAAGAAAAUGUAUGGGUUAAUACCCUGUGCAGAUGACGGUACCGGAAUAAGAAGCACCGGCUAACUACGUGCCAGCAGCCGCGGUAAUACGUAGGGUGCGAGCGUUAAUUGGAAUUACUGGGCGUAAAGCGUGCGCAGGCGGUUUUGUAAGACAGGCGUGAAAUCCCCGGGCUUAACCUGGGAACUGCGUUUGUGACUGCAAGGCUAGAGUACGGCAGAGGGGGGUGGAAUUCCACGUGUAGCAGUGAAAUGCGUAGAGAUGUGGAGGAACACCAAUGGCGAAGGCAGCCCCCUGGGUCGAUACUGACGCUCAUGCACGAAAGCGUGGGUAGCAAACAGGAUUAGAUACCCUGGUAGUCCACGCCCUAAACGAUGUCAACUAGGUGUUGGGAGGGUAAAACCUUUUAGUACCGUAGCUAACGCGAGAAGUUGACCGCCUGGGGAGUACGGCCGCAAGGUUAAAACUCAAAGGAAUUGACGGGGACCCGCACAAGCGGUGGAUGAUGUGGAUUAAUUCGAUGCAACGCGAAAAACCUUACCUACCCUUGACAUGUCAGGAACUUUCCAGAGAUGGAUUGGUGCCCGAAAGGGAACCUGAACACAGGUGCUGCAUGGCUGUCGUCAGCUCGUGUCGUGAGAUGUUGGGUUAAGUCCCGCAACGAGCGCAACCCUUGUCGUUAAUUGCCAUCAUUUAGUUGGGCACUUUAACGAGACUGCCGGUGACAAACCGGAGGAAGGUGGGGAUGACGUCAAGUCCUCAUGGCCCUUAUGGGUAGGGCUUCACACGUCAUACAAUGGUCGGAACAAAGGGUCGCCAACCCGCGAGGGGGAGCCAAUCCCAUAAAGCCGAUCGUAGUCCGGAUUGCAGGCUGCAACUCGCCUGCAUGAAGUCGGAAUCGCUAGUAAUCGUGGAUCAGCAUGUCACGGUGAAUACGUUCCCGGGUCUUGUACACACCGCCCGUCACACCAUGGGAGCGGGUUCCGCCAGAAGUAGGUAGCCUAACCGCAAGGGGGGCGCUUACCACGGCGGGGUUCGUGACUGGGGUGAAGUCGUAACAAGGUAGCCGUAGGGGAACCUGCGGCUG
rnacentral:rRNA from 1 species